rnacentral:lncRNA from 1 species
GAGUGGUUUCGGAAAUGGGAUUAGAUUUAUGAUGUGUCGAUCGUCCCAGCCUUACAUGUGCGACCAUGAUACCCCUUUAUGGGACAGGGCUUGGUUGAUUACUUUGGUCGGUGCUAGCAAAGAGCCUGCAUUACUAGUGGCGGGAGUGAUAUGUGGUCACUCUCGUGACGGGGUCGUACCAGGUAGGUUGACUAAGCCAUUUUUACGUGUUCCUGGCACACCGUUGGUCCCCUCAUGGAUGAUACGGUCUAGAGUUGGUGCUUGUAAGACGUACAUCAUGUGGGUUGGGUUCCAAUCGAGUGGACUCUUUGUCUAGUGUCGUCAGGGGAAAGGCAAUGGUCAGGUACUUACCUCGGGUAUGUUAUAUACCACGAGUCGUGGAUGACACAGAAGUUUCCCGGAUCUAGUGGGUACAGCAUAAAACCUCUGCAGAGUGUAAAACUAUUCGAAUAGCCGUGUCCAUGGUCAAGGACAGUUGGGUGGUGCUGCUUAAACUACGUCCAGUCGUUUCCCCAUAAACCAAGUAUGUGUGUUUAAAGGUGUUAUCUGAAUAAUAUGAUAUGACCAGUUUGUAGCCUUGGCAUUUAGGCUGAACCUGAAGUGUUCAGCCCUCAACAGAUAUGCUGAUAUCUGUAA